AAAUGCACAUAUUGUGAGCUCGAUGAGUAGGGCGGGACACGUGGUAUCCUGUCUGAAUAUGGGGGGACCAUCCUCCAAGGCUAAAUACUCCUGACUGACCGAUAGUGAACCAGUACCGUGAGGGAAAGGCGAAAAGAACCCCGGCGAGGGGAGUGAAAAAGAACCUGAAACCGUGUACGUACAAGCAGUGGGAGCCUCUUAAUGGGGUGACUGCGUACCUUUUGUAUAAUGGGUCAGCGACUUAUAUUCUGUAGCAAGGUUAACCGAAUAGGGGAGCCGAAGGGAAACCGAGUCUUAACUGGGCGUUAAGUUGCAGGGUAUAGACCCGAAACCCGGUGAUCUAGCCAUGGGCAGGUUGAAGGUUGGGUAACACUAACUGGAGGACCGAACCGACUAAUGUUGAAAAAUUAGCGGAUGACUUGUGGCUGGGGGUGAAAGGCCAAUCAAACCGGGAGAUAGCUGGUUCUCCCCGAAAGCUAUUUAGGUAGCGCCUCGUGAAUUCAUCUCCGGGGGUAGAGCACUGUUUCGGCAAGGGGGUCAUCCCGACUUACCAACCCGAUGCAAACUGCGAAUACCGGAGAAUGUUAUCACGGGAGACACACGGCGGGUGCUAACGUCCGUCGUGAAGAGGGAAACAACCCAGACCGCCAGCUAAGGUCCCAAAGUCAUGGUUAAGUGGGAAACGAUGUGGGAAGGCCCAGACAGCCAGGAUGUUGGCUUAGAAGCAGCCAUCAUUUAAAGAAAGCGUAAUAGCUCACUGGUCGAGUCGGCCUGCGCGGAAGAUGUAACGGGGCUAAACCAUGCACCGAAGCUGCGGCAGCGACACUAUGUGUUGUUGGGUAGGGGAGCGUUCUGUAAGCCUGUGAAGGUGGCCUGUGAGGGUUGCUGGAGGUAUCAGAAGUGCGAAUGCUGACAUAAGUAACGAUAAAGCGGGUGAAAAGCCCGCUCGCCGGAAGACCAAGGGUUCCUGUCCAACGUUAAUCGGGGCAGGGUGAGUCGACCCCUAAGGCGAGGCCGAAAGGCGUAGUCGAUGGGAAACAGGUUAAUAUUCCUGUACUUGGUGUUACUGCGAAGGGGGGACGGAGAAGGCUAUGUUGGCCGGGCGACGGUUGUCCCGGUUUAAGCGUGUAGGCUGGUUUUCCAGGCAAAUCCGGAAAACCAAGGCUGAGGCGUGAUGACGAGGCACUACGGUGCUGAAGCGACAAAUGCCCUGCUUCCAGGAAAAGCCUCUAAGCAUCAGGUAACAUCAAAUCGUACCCCAAACCGACACAGGUGGUCAGGUAGAGAAUACCAAGGCGCUUGAGAGAACUCGGGUGAAGGAACUAGGCAAAAUGGUGCCGUAACUUCGGGAGAAGGCACGCUGAUAUGUAGGUGAAGCGACUUGCUCGUGGAGCUGAAAUCAGUCGAAGAUACCAGCUGGCUGCAACUGUUUAUUAAAAACACAGCACUGUGCAAACACGAAAGUGGACGUAUACGGUGUGACGCCUGCCCGGUGCCGGAAG
rnacentral:rRNA from 1 species